UCAAAUUUGAAAUCUGGCACCUUCGGUGUCCGAGUUGUAAUUUGAAGAAGGUAACUUUGGAGUUGGCUCUUGUCUAUGUUCCUUGGAACAGGACGUCACAGAGGGUGAGAAUCCCGUGCGAUGAGAUGUCCAACUCUAUGUAAAGUGCUUUCGAAGAGUCGAGUUGUUUGGGAAUGCAGCUCUAAGUGGGUGGUAAAUUCCAUCUAAAGCUAAAUAUUGGCGAGAGACCGAUAGCGAACAAGUACAGUGAUGGAAAGAUGAAAAGAACUUUGAAAAGAGAGUGAAAAAGUACGUGAAAUUGUUGAAAGGGAAGGGUUUGAGAUCAACUUGGUAUUUUGUAUGUCUUGCUUUCGGUGGGGCCUCUG
rnacentral:rRNA from 1 species